rnacentral:rRNA from 1 species
GCCUCUUGACUUAACCAUAAGAGGUCCAGCCUGCCCAGUGACAUUGUUCAACGGCCGCGGUAUUCUAACCGUGCGAAGGUAGCGUAAUCACUUGUCCUUUAAAUGAGGACUAGUAUGAACGGCCACACGAAAGCUAUGCUGUCUCCUUUUUCUAAUCAGUUAAACUAAUCUCCCCGUGAAGAAGCGGGGAUGAUUAUAUAAGACGAGAAGACCCUAUGGAGCUUUAAACAAUUGAAACACUUGUACCCAUCUUCCACACUUCCGACAGCCUACGCUUAAUUUUACACUUUGUUUCUAGCUUUAGGUUGGGGUGACCACGGAGAAAAAACAAACCUCCACGCUGAAAGAGUUAAUCUCUAAACAAAAAGCUACAUCUUUAAGUAUUAAUACAUUAACCUGAAUUGACCCA